rnacentral:rRNA from 1 species
GAUGAACGCUAGCGGCAGGCUUAACACAUGCAAGUCGAGGGGUAACAGGGAAGAGCUUGCUUUUGUGCUGACGACCGGCGCACGGGUGCGUAACGCGUAUAGAACCUACCUUUUACAGGGGAAUAGCCCAGAGAAAUUUGGAUUAAUGCCCCAUAGUAUUAUUGAAUGGCAUCAUUUAAUAAUUAAACAUUUAUGGGUAAAAGAUGGCUAUGCGUUCUAUUAGCUAGAUGGUAAGGUAACGGCUUACCAUGGCAACGAUAGAUAGGGGUCCUGAGAGGGAGAUCCCCCACACUGGUACUGAGACACGGACCAGACUCCUACGGGAGGCAGCAGUGAGGAAUAUUGGACAAUGGAGGCAACUCUGAUCCAGCCAUGCCGCGUGCAGGAAGACGGUCCUAUGGAUUGUAAACUGCUUUUAUAUAGGAAGAAACCUUUCCACGUGUGGAAAGCUGACGGUACUAUAAGAAUAAGCACCGGCUAACUCCGUGCCAGCAGCCGCGGUAAUACGGAGGGUGCAAGCGUUAUCCGGAAUCAUUGGGUUUAAAGGGUCCGUAGGCGGACUAAUAAGUCAGGGGUGAAAUCCAACAGCUUAACUGUUGAACUGCCUUUGAUACUGUUAGUCUUGAGUUAUAUGGAAGUAGAUAGAAUAUGUAGUGUAGC